rnacentral:rRNA from 1 species
CAGUCGCCACGGUAAAACAGAGGGUGCAAGCGUUAAUCGGAAUUACUGGGCGUAAAGCGCGCGUAGGUGGUUCGCCAAGUUGGAUGUGAAAUCCCCGGGCUCAACCUGGGAACUGCAUCCAAAACUGGCGAGCUAGAGUAUGGUAGAGGGUGGUGGAAUUUCCUGUGUAGCGGUGAAAUGCGUAGAUAUAGGAAGGAACAUCAGUGGCGAAGGCGACCACCUGGACUGAUACUGACACUGAGGUGGGAAAGCGUGGGGAGCAAACAGGAUUAGAUACCCCAGUAGUCCCUGUCUCUUAUCC